rnacentral:rRNA from 1 species
UACGAAGGGGGCUAGCGUUGUUCGGAUUAACUGGGCGUAAAGCGCGCGUAGGCGGGUUUUUAAGUCAGGGGUGAAAUCCCAAGGCUCAACCUUGGAACUGCCUUUGAUACUGGAAAUCUUGAGUCCGGGAGAGGUGAGUGGAACUGCGAGUGUAGAGGUGAAAUUCGUAGAUAUUCGCAAGAACACCAGUGGCGAAGGCGGCUCACUGGCCCGAUACCGACGCUGAGGCACGAAAGCGUGGGGAGCAAACAGG